UACGUAGGGUGCAAGCGUUGUCCGGAAUUAUUGGGCGUAAAGAGCUCGUAGGCGGUCUGUCGCGUCUGCUGUGAAAACUCGGGGCUUAACCCCGGGCCUGCAGCCGAUACGGGCAAGCUAGAAUUCGGUAGGGGAGACUGGAAUUCCUGGUGUAGCGGUGAAAUGCGCAGAUAUCAGGAGGAACACCGGUGGCGAAGGCGGGUCUCUGGGCCGAAAUUGACGCUGAGGAGCGAAAGCGUGGGGAGCAAACAGG
rnacentral:rRNA from 1 species